GAAGCCAUAUGGCGACAUAGAGCGGAACCCGAAAACCUGUCUCAGUUCGGAUUGGAGUCUGCAACCCGACUCCAUGAAGCUGGAUUCGCUAGUAAUCGCGCAUCAGCCACGGCGCGGUGAAUACGUUCCCGGGCCUUGUACACACCGCCCGUCAAGCCAUGGAAGCCGGGAGUGCCUGAAGUGCGUGAGCGCAAGCAGCGCCCUAAGGUAAAACCGGUGACUGGGGCUAAGUCGUAACAAGGUACC
rnacentral:rRNA from 1 species